AUGGCAGGGACACCUUCCACUGUCCCAGGCUGCUCCAAACCCUGUCCAGCCUGGCCUGGGACACUGCCAGGGAUCCAGGGGCAGCCACAGCUGCUCUGGAAAUUCCAGCCCAGCCAGGAAUUCCUUCCAAAUCUCCCCUUUCCCAGGACGCAGCCAUUCCCUGUGUCCCUCCCUCCAUCCCUUGUCCCCAGUCCCUCUCCAUCUCCCUCUCCACCCUUUUCCAGCGCUUUUCCCCCAGCUCCUCCCGGCCCUGCCCCUCGCUGCCCCCGCACCCCGGCACUUACCAUGGCCGCUGCUCCAAGGGACGGGAUCCACCGGGAUGGCGAUCCCAGAGGGAUGGAGAUCCUACAGGGAAGGGGAUCUCACCGGGAAGGGCCCGGAGUGAGCAGGCCCGACAAGGAAACGAAAGCGAAAGCUCCGGGGAAGCGGCGGUGCCGCCCCUCCCGCCGCCUCCGGCCGCUGCGGCACCGGGACCGCCCUGCCCGGCCGGGAAUGAACUGCGGGGCCGGGAAUGGGCACCGGGACCGCCCUGCCCGGCCGGGAAUGAACUGCGGGGCCGGGAAUGGGCACCGGGACCGCCCUGCCCGGCCGGGAAUGAACUGCGGGGCCGGGAAUGGGCACCGGGACCGCCCUGCCCGGCCGGGAAUGAACUGCGGGGCCGGGAAUGGGCACCGGGACCGCCCUGCCCGGCCGGGAAUGAACUGCGGGGCCGGGAAUGGGCACCGGGACCGCCCUGCCCGGCCGGGAAUGAACUGCGGGGCCGGGAAUGGGCACCGGGAGCGCCCUGCCCGGCCGGGAAUGAACUGCGGGGCCGGGAAUGGGCACCGGGACCGCCCUGCCCGGCCGGGAAUGAACUGCGGGGCCGGGAAUGGGCACCGGGAGCGCCCUGCCCGGCCGGGAAUGAACUGCGGGGCCGGGAAUGGGCACCGGGAGCGCCUUUCCUGGCUGGGAACGGGCACACGGAGCGCCCUGCCCGGCUGGAAUUGCGGGUCUGGGAAUGGCCACAACGAGCAGGGACACGCGGGGACAGGGACUCGUAGAGAGAGGGACAGAGACAGAGACAAGAGACACGCAUGGGGAGGGACACGAGAGGGACAUGGACAGGGACACACAGGGGCAGGGACACGCAUGGAAAGGGACACACAGGGACAUACAGAUGGAUAG
rnacentral:lncRNA from 1 species